GGACACUCUUUGAAAUCCUACAUGGAAGAAGAUGAGUCUUUGAAGCAAUUGCAGGUUGUGCAUCAGCCAUGGUUUUUACCAAGUGACACAGAAAGUGAAGGAAUUGAAGCAGAGCAAGACAAACGUUCUGCUGAUCUUCUCUGUGUGCCAUGCUCGUCCUGUCCUACCCUGAUCUAUUCAGGUCUGUCUGUGAAACCGGCAAAGGAAGUUGCGAGUGGUCCUUAAGAAGAUUAUAGCUGACUGAAUCGUUACUAGUAGUCCUAAUUUGAUGUACUAAAUGUAAUAUCUAAAGAAAUAUCAUUUUCCUAAUGUCAAUAAUAAACAAGAACUCUCGUAAGUUGAGUGUGCACUAAUGUAUAGUACAAAAACACGAAUUCAGGCACAGCAGUCUGUUGUCUAUGGAAUCUGAUACCUUUUGAUCUGGUCAGUGUCUUGGGUUUAUGUUACUUUAU